CUGAGAACGUCCUAUUGGUAUAUUUUUCCGAAUUGGCUACAAAAAUGAAGUCAUCCACACUGUGGUCGCACUAUUCUAUGGUGAAAGCAACUUUAAAUAUAAAAAAUGGCAUAGAAAUCGGAAAGUAUUCAAAAUUAAAAGCGUUUAUAAAGAAACAAGGAGAAGGAUACGUUCCAAAGAAAUCAAGGGUUUUAACUAAUGAACAAAUAGAAGUUUUCUUAGACACGGCUCCGGAUUUCAAAUUCCUGAUGAUGAAAAUUGUUGUAAUCUUUGGCGUUAGCGGAGCUUGUCGGUGUCACGAACUAUUACAAAUAAAAACUGAAGAUAUUGAAAAUAUUAAAGCAGGUUUAUUGGUAAAAAUUCCUGAUACCAAAACGAAAAAACCCAGAUCAUUUACGGUUAUGGGGGAAAAGUAUUUGAAAUUUUUUUCGUUUGGAAGAACCAGGUACAAGUAGUGAAACCACAAGUAAAAUACAUGAAGACGCAACGAAUAGGAAUGUGAGCGAAGUAAACCUAGAAGAAUCAGGUACAAGUAGUGGAACUACGAAUAGAAUGAUCACACGUGAAGACGGAAUAAGUAGGAAUGUGGGAGCAGUAAACCUGAAUUUUGACACUGUGACCAACCAGACAGCAGGAGCGGUAGAAGUGUUAGCGCAAAAUAUUAUUACUGACCGCAUGAAAAAUGAUAAUAGUGACGGAAAAUCUUUAAUCCAAAUCAAUCGCAGUUGUUCUUAUUGUACAUUCAAUAUUAAUUUUAAAAUUUAAAUAAUUAAUAACAAUGUAAGUUAAUAAUAAAAUUGGAAAAUAUUAA